CAUUUGAAAAUAAGGCACAUAAUUGCUUCUUAAUAUAGCUUUCACAUUUGAAAAUCAUCAUAUUUAUUUAUUUAUUUAUUUUUUAUUUUUUAGCUUAACAUAAUGACCUUCUUACUAUAGCUUUCACAUUAGUUUUUUUUUAUUGUUUAUGGUUAAUCAUGAUUUUUCACUUAGAAAAUUUCUUAGCUUAGCUUAGAGCCUAUAAGGGCCCUAUUGAAUGGUCAGCAUCUUUGACCAAGUUGCAGUUAAGGCACAUAUUGCUUUCACAUAACUUUUUACUGUUUAUGAUUAAUCUUCAUUUUCUACUUAGAAGAUCUCUUAGCUAGGUAGGUAUGAGCCUAUAAGGGCCCUGUUGACUGGUGGGUCCAGAUCCACCUGACGUAGACAAUCCCAUUAUCAAGUUUAGUCAUAAUGAAACAAAAUUCUCUCCAUAAAGAUGCAAAGUAAAUAAAGUUUUAUUCAACAGCAAUUAUUAGCAAAUUUAGAAGAAGAGUGUGCUACAAGCAAAUCUUAUCUUCCAAAUCUAAGGCUCCAUCAACAAUGAUCUUCAAGCAGAACUCAUGAUAAGGAAGCUUAAAUGUUAUUGCAAUGAAACUUUCCCAUGCGGAUGCAUGCUUCCAGGGUUUUCACCUCGGCCACCAUCUCGAUAUCUCUCCUUCUACAACGUAUGAAUCCAUAUUGGAAAUGAGGCAGCUGGCUCUGGACAUCUCCAUAUUGGGAACCCCUAAAUCUCUAUCCAAUCUCCCAAUUUACCAAUGUCUUACUUGAUUUAAGAUCUCAAUACUUUCUUUUAGGAAUUCCCUUAGGUGCCCUCCUUUUUCUUUUUCUUUUUUUUUUUUUCUUUUUUUUUAAUAUGGGUUUUAUUUUUUGGAGAAGGAGAUGAAAAGGAAGCGUUUGCGUAAGAGAGGUUUGUUGCAAUGAGAUAUAAGUUUUUUGUUGCACAUUUCCAGAUUUUGCUGCUGUUGAUGCAAAAAAAUUUCGCUAGUUCCUCUCUGAGUCAAUAAAACCGUUCCUCUUUUGAGUCAAUAAAACGGAGUUAGACCCUUGAGGCACUGGAGGUAUAGAACAAAGGUACUUUGACAGAGUUAGCCUCAACCAGUCAAUAAGAUGGAGUUAGACCCUUGAGGCACUGCUGGUAUAGACCAACGGUACUCAAGGUACUUUCACAGAGUUAGCCUCAAAUCUUUGACAGAGUUAGAACUUUGAGAUACCGGUGGAGAUAUAGGUGGUACCAACCAAAGAGUUAGACCCUCAAAGGUACUCCGGACACUUGAAGGCUGAGAUGAACUUGCAGAUUCACCAGAAUGUAAAGUGAAAAUAUAUUGCCGUGCUUGUGUUGAGAGAGCUUCCAAGAUGCUUGCUAAUACACCAACACCAAGAGUUCCUCCAUUGAUCCACUUGGCUUCCAUUCAUCAUCACAGUCCGCAGAGGUAGCUGGAGCGCAGGUUCCAGAAGAAGUUCCAACUAUAGCCUGCAACCCCAAAGGGCUUAGCUUAGAAUCAACUCAACCAUUGAAUUGGAGUGAAACCAAGGAAAGAACAGAGAGCCUAGAGGGAUCAGUGAGUAUGGCAUAUAGGUAAAAAAAAAACUCUGCUUCUGCUCAAUGGGUUCAUCAUCAUCAUCAUCAUCAUCUUACAAUCAGGCUGUCAGAGUAGAUGAUUCUGAUCGCUCUAUGCAUUAGAAUAUUCCAAAAGUGUAAAAAUUUAGUUAGUUUUGGCAGAAAAUUGCAAAGCCAAAACUGUAAAUUCAAAUUAAUUAGUAGUCGCUUAGAAUUGAAGACAAUUGCUUCCAGAUUUGGUAUGUCACUGUUUUCCAAAGUUGAGUGGAUGCAAUUUUUUUCUUCUCUGACAUUGACGGUAAUUUGCUGUAGCAUACAUACUGCCGAAGCAUCACUAUUUAACAGUGACUCUAGUCAACUCGUGCAUGCAUGAGAUCUUUUAGUGCAUCAAAGUAUGAGGUGGUGAAAUUUUACUCACCACACACGGUGACUCCCAAUCAAAUGAUGUAACUGAUUCAUCAAAACCAAGUAAAAUGAUGCAUCAAUCAUUCCAAAAGCCUAUUGAGGAUUAGGCUGCAUUGGACCGCUUAGAUAGACUUGGUGGGAUGUAUGAGAAAUGAAAGUGUGGAAAAUUAGUGCUGUGCUCUAUUAUGACUCUGACUAUGCCUAUGUGGGGCAUCUCAAAAUAUAACGACUUGAUUGCAAUAAGCCAAAGGGAGGCCUAUUGCUUUUAAACAAAUACCAUUUGUAGCACAAGAAAGAUGAGCAGCCGGCCUGGUUUAGAAACAAAUAUAUUAAUAUGAUUUUAUUACUUUAAUGCCAUGUGGUGUUUUAUUUGGCAGCUGUUGAAAAUAGAUUUCUUCAUUUGUCUUCAUUUGUUAUUCAUUUUGUUUGCAACCCAAAUAUGAGAUGUACCCGCAAGAAGAAAAUUUAAUAAUAAUAAUAAUUAUUAUGUUUGAUU